GCAGAAGGCUGUAUAACAGUCACUAAACAUUGUAAACAUGCUCGACAACAACAAUAACAAUAUCGAGAAGAAGAACAGUAAAAGUUAUUGGAAAUAAGUCUCUUGUAUCUUGCACAUAUUUGGAUUCCAUUGUUUCAAACAUAUUGUGUCUUUUUCAGGUUGCUGCUAGAAAACAGAGAUUCGUAGAACGCAGAGUGAUAGGUGCUGGCAAGAUCAUGCUCGAAGAUGAAUCCACCAUCUGUGAAGACAUGCUUAAUGCUUUGGAUGUUAGUGGUCUCCAAGCAAAGGCAGCUGCUUUCAAUGAUUACAAUUUCGAGGCACCUAACCGAAGUCCAUUGGCAAUAGACAAUCAAAGAACAGCCAUUCUUGAACUUCUCAAAAAAGAAAAUGUCAUCAUUGUUAAGGGCUUUACCGGUUGUGGUAAAACCACUCAAGUUCCCCAAUUUGUUUUAGAUAAAUGCUACCGAACCAAAACUCCUUGCAACAUUGUUGUGACUCAACCAAGGCGCAUUGCAGCCAUUAGCAUAGCCAAAAGGGUCUGCUAUGAAAGAAAUUGGACAUUGAAAACCGUUGUUGGAUACAGAUAAGUGAAUCAACUUUGCUCACCUAUCUAACCGCAGGAUGCCUUCUUGAAGCAUUAGUAGCCAAAAAAUCCCUUGAAAGCUAUACCCACAUAAUUAUUGACGAAGUACACGAGAAGGAUAAAGAUACUGACUUCCUUCUCUUGGUCGUCCGCCAGUUCCUCCGUCAUACGAGGACGACAACUAAAGUCUUUCUGAUGUCAGUUACUUUUGAUGCCGACAAAUUUGGGCAAUAUUUCAAUAGCCCCGUCAUUGGAAACUUUCCGUUCACGUCCAAAAGACCAUUUCGCAACGCUCCCAUAAUUGAAGUGUAGCACGGUGAACCUCACGACAUCCGCGUUUACUAUAGUGAACAUCUUCAAAAACUAGAGUUUCUAGGGGGGAGUAUGAACUACCCCUAUGAUAGUUUACCGGAAAUCCAUAAGCUCAAAUACGAAGCGGUCGCUAAGUUAAUUUCGGCUUUCGAUGGCAGACGAGAGAUACAGCGCUACGGUCGCCAUCCUAAAUCCAAAAUAUGAAACAUUUCCAGCAACCGCAGCGCAAUACUUAUAUUCCUGCCCGGCGUCUGUGAAAUAGAAAAUAUGCACAAAGCUUUGCUCGACUAUGACAUCAAUUCUGAUUUCGAGAACUGUUGGUACAUCCUACCACUACAUUCACAAAUCACCAGUGAAGAGCAAAAUCGCGUCUUCCAGCCAAUGUCUAGUCUAGCUCCACAUUUCAGUAAUUUACGGAAAAUCAUUCUGUCCGCGAAUAUCGCUGAAAGUUCUCUCACGGUGCCAGACGUUACCUACGUAAUUGAUUUUUGUCUCAUCAAGGAGCUCGUCACGGACCCAGAUACCAAUUUGAGUAGGCCAGUAGGCCGGAUACCACCGACGUCGGCAGAUUAUUAUAGUGCUGGCUAUACCAUCAAGCCCCCGCCACAGUGCAAAAGAGAAAAUGGCCGAGAGCCAGACAGCAAUGGUAUUGGACUUUGUUCACUCGGUCGGAUUUCCACAUCUUUCUCUCUUUUUCCUCCAUCCGCGUUUAGAUCUAUCUAUAAGUUCUCCGCCCGGUAUUCUAGAUAGUAUACAUUCUGACCAAAAUUUGUCGUCUUGUGUAGCAGAGAAAUCCCGUAGCACAAGCUUGAUUGAAUUUCUUCUUUUUCACGGUGCCACUACAUCGGCUGAGUGCGGCAAACUAAUGUUUCUCUUCUCAUCAAUAGCUUUUGUGCUCUUGCCUUGCUGCUUUGAUGUUGAUUACAGCAUUUUCAUUAAACAAA
rnacentral:lncRNA from 1 species